GCAUGCAGUCUCAGUACGAGCCACAUUAAGGUGAAACCGCAAAAGGCUCAUUAAAUCAGUUAUGGUUCCUUAGAUCGUACAAUCCCUUACUUGGAUAACUGUGGUAAUUCUAGAGCUAAUACAUGCAAACAGAGUCCCGACCAGAGAUGGAAGGGACGCUUUUAUUAGAUCAAAACCAAUCGGUGCCCGGCUUGCCGGGCCCGUUAUCCUUGGUGACUCUGAAUAACUUUCAGCUGAUCGCACGGUCCUAGUACCGGCGACGCAUCUUUCAAAUGUCUGACUUAUCAACUGUCGAUGGUAGAUUCUGCGCCUACCAUGGUUGUAACGGGUAACGGGGAAUCAGGGUUCGAUUCCGGAGAGGGAGCCUGAGAAACGGCUACCACAUCCAAGGAAGGCAGCAGGCGCGCAAAUUACCCACUCCCGGCACGGGGAGGUAGUGACGAAAAAUAACGAUACGGGACUCAUCCGAGGCCCCGUAAUCGGAAUGAGUACACUUUAAAUCCUUUAACGAGUACCAAUUGGAGGGCAAGUCUGGUGCCAGCAGCCGCGGUAAUUCCAGCUCCAAUAGCGUAUAUUAAAGUUGUUGCGGUUAAAAAGCUCGUAGUUGGACCUGUGUUCCACGCUGUCGGUUCGCCGCCCGUCGGUGUUAACUGGCAUGUCCUGUGGAACGUCCUGCCGGUGGCGGUCCGGGCUCUCGGCUUGCGUAAAGACCUUGUGUCUGAAGCAGGACGAAUAGUUCCGGCCGCCGGUCCAAUCCCGCCACGGUGCUCUUCACCGAGUGUCGAGGUGGGCCGGCACGUUUACUUUGAACAAAUUAGAGUGCUUAAAGCAGGCUGGUGUCCGCCUGAAUACUGUGUGCAUGGAAUAAUGGAAUAGGACCUCGGUUCUAUUUUGUUGGUUUUCGGAACCCGAGGUAAUGAUUAAUAGGGACAGGCGGGGGGCAUUUCGUAUUGCGACGUUAGAGGUGAAAUUCUUGGAUCGUCGCAAGACGAAACCUAAGCGAAAGGCAUUUGCCAAGUAUGUUCUCGUUAAUCAGAACGAAAGUUUA
rnacentral:rRNA from 1 species